rnacentral:rRNA from 1 species
CAGUAGCCGCGGGAAUACGUAGGGUGCAAGCGUUAAUCGGAAUUACUGGGCGUAAAGCGUGCGCAGGCGGUUUGUUAAGACAGGUGUGAAAUCCCCGGGCUUAACCUGGGAACUGCGCUUGUGACUGCACAGCUAGAGUAUGGCAGAGGGGGGUGGAAUUCCGCGUGUAGCAGUGAAAUGCGUAGAUAUGCGGAGGAACACCGAUGGCGAAGGCAGCCCCCUGGGCCAACACUGACGCUCAUGCACGAAAGCGUGGGGAGCAAACAGGAUUAGAUACCCCCGUAGUCCCUGUCUCUUAUAC